AUGCAAGUCGAACGGAAUUGAGGGGCUUGCUCCUCAAUUUAGUGGCGCACGGGUGAAUAACCCGUAGAUUAUCUGCCUGAUGAUCUGGGAUAACACUUCCAAAGGGGUGCUAAUACCGGAUAACCCCACGGAGUCUUUGGAUUCUGCGGGAAAAGGGGGGGACCUUCGGGCCUUCUGUCAUACAGAUGAGUCUGCGUACCAUUAGCUAGUUGGUAGGGUAAUGGCCUACCAAGGCUACGAUGGUUAGCUGGUUUGAGAGAAUGAUCAGCCACACUGGAACUGAGACACGGUCCAGACUCCUACGGGAGGCAGCAGUGGGGAAUUUUGCGCAAUGGGCGAAAGCCUGAUCGCAGCAACGCCGCGUGAGUGAUGAAGGCUUUCGGGUCGUAAAGCUCUGUCGAGGGGAAAGAAGUGUAUUGUGGCUAAUAUCCACGAUACUUGACGGUACCCCUAAAGGAAGCACCGGCUAACUCCGUGCCAGCAGCCGCGGUAAUACGGGGGGUGCAAGCGUUGUUCGGAAUUAUUGGGCGUAAAGAGCGUGUAGGCGGUUUGUUAAGUCUGUUGUGAAAGCCCUGGGCUCAACCCAGGAAGUGCACUGGAUACUGGCAGACUUGAAUACGGGAGAGGGUAGUGGAAUUCCUAGUGUAGGAGUGAAAUCCGUAGAUAUUAGGAGGAACACCGGUGGCGAAGGCGGCUACCUGGACCGAUAUUGACGCUGAGACGCGAAAGCGUGGGUAGCAAACAGGAUUAGAUACCCUGGUAGUCCACGCCGUAAACGAUGAGAACUAGGUGUUGCGGGUAUUGACCCCUGCAGUGCCGCAGCUAACGCAUUAAGUUCUCCGCCUGGGAAGUACGGUCGCAAGACUAAAACUUCAAU
rnacentral:rRNA from 1 species